rnacentral:rRNA from 1 species
GACGUAGGAGACAAACGUUAUCCGGAGUUACUGGGCGUAAAGGGCGUGUAGGCGGUUUAUUAAGUUCGUCGUGAAAUAGCUCGGCUUAACCGGGCGGGGUCGAUGGAUACUGGUAGACUUGAGGACGGUAGAGGCGUGUGGAAUUCCGGGUGUAGUGGUGAAAUGCGUAGAUAUCCGGAGGAACACCAGUGGCGAAGGCGACACGCUGGGCCGUACCUGACGCUAAAGCGCGACAGCAUGGGGAGCGAACGGG